CUACGGGAGGCAGCAGUGGGGAAUAUUGCACAAUGGGCGCAAGCCUGAUGCAGCAACGCCGCGUGAGGGAUGAAGGCCUUCGGGUUGUAAACCUCUUUUAGCAGGGAAGAAGCGAAAGUGACGGUACCUGCAGAAAAAGCACCGGCUAACUACGUGCCAGCAGCCGAGGUAAUACGUAGGGCGCAAGCGUUGUCCGGAAUUAUUGGGCGUAAAGAGCUCGUAGGCGGUUUGUCACGUCUGCUGUGAAAAUCCAAGGCUCAACCUUGGACUUGCAGUGGGUACGGGCAGGCUAGAGUGCGGUAGGGGAGAUGGGAAUUCCUGGUGUAGCGGUGGAAUGCGCAGAUAUCAGGAGGAACACCAAUGGCGAAGGCACAUCUCUGGGCCGUAACUGACGCUGAGGAGCGAAAGCGUGGGGAGCGAACAGGAUUAGAUACCCCUGUAGUC
rnacentral:rRNA from 1 species